rnacentral:misc_RNA from 1 species
GUGAGUCAUCGAAUCUUUGAACGCACAUUGCGCCCUUUGGUAUUCCGAAGGGCAUGCCUGUUCGAGCGUCAUUAUCACCCCUCAAGCCCCGUGCUUGGUGUUGGACGGCUGGUCGAGCGAAUCGACCCCUUCUAAAGGCAAUGACGGCGGCCUGUGGUUCCCCCGGUACACUGAGCUUCUCAUCGAGCACGUGUCGGACCAGGGCACCCGGGUUCCGGUCCCCUCCUUUCACAAGGAAACUUCUAAUGGUUGACCUCGGAUCAGGUAGGAAUACGCGCUGAACUUAAGCAUAUCAAUAAGCGGAGGA